rnacentral:rRNA from 1 species
GAUGAACGCUAGCGGGAGGCCUAAUACAUGCAAGUCGAGCGGUAGAGUGACUUCGGUUGCUUGAGAGCGGCGAACGGGUGAGUAACGCGUACACAAUCUACCUUUAAGAGGGGAAUAGCCCUGGGAAACUGGGAUUAAUGCCCCAUGGCAUCACGAGACGGCAUCGUUUUGUGAUUAAAGCUGAGGUGCUUAGAGAUGAGUGUGCGUCUGAUUAGCUAGUUGGUGCGGUAACGGCGCACCAAGGCGACGAUCAGUAGGGGGCGUGAGAGCGUGGACCCCCACACGGGGUACUGAGACACGGACCCGACUCCUACGGGAGGCAGCAGUAAGGAAUAUUGGUCAAUGGAGGAAACUCUGAACCAGCCAUCCCGCGUGCAGGAAGAAUGCCCUAUGGGUUGUAAACUGCUUUUAUCUGGGAAGAAAAGUCGGGAUUUAUCCUGAUCUGACGGUACCAGAGGAAUAAGCACCGGCUAACUCCGUGCCAGCAGCCGCGGUAAAG